rnacentral:rRNA from 1 species
UGAAACACGGACCAAGGAGUCUAACAUAUGCGCGAGCUAAUGGGUGGAAAACCCAAAGGCGCAAUAAAAGUAAAAGCUGUUUCGGACAGCCGAGGUACGAUCCUAGCUAUCCGAGUGAUACUGGGCGCAGUACCGUCCCAUCCCGACCGCAUAUCGGUAGGGUGGAGAUAGAGUGCAUACGUUGGGACCCGAAAGAUGGUGAACUAUGCCUGAGCAGAGCGAAGCCAGAGGAAACUCUGGUGGAGGUUCGUAGCGGUUCUGACGUGCAAAUCGAUCGUCAGACUUGGGUAUAGGGGCGAAAGACUAAUCGAACCAUCUAGUAGCUGGUUCCCCCUGAAGUUUCCCUCAGGAUAGCUGAUACUCGUUAAAAAACGAAGUUUUAUCCGGUAAAGCGAAUGAUUAGAGGCCUUGGGGACGAAAUGACCUCAACCUAUUCUCAAACUUUAAAUGGGUAAGAAGUCGAGCUUGCUCGAUCGAAGCCCGACAUAAGAAUUCGAGUAUCAGUGGGCCAUUUUUGGUAAGCA